UACGGGGGGGGGCAAGCGUUGUUCGGAAUUACUGGGCGUAAAGGGCGCGUAGGCGGUCAGAUAAGUCAGCUGUGAAAACCUCGGGCUUAACCCGAGGCCUGCAGUUGAAACUGUUUGGCUGGAGUGUGGGAGAGGAGAGUGGAAUUCCCGGUGUAGCGGUGAAAUGGCGUAGAUAUCGGGAAGGAACACCGGUGGCGAAGGCGGCUCUCUGGACCACUACUGACGCUGAGGCGCGGAAAGCUAGGGGAGCAAACAGGGAUUAAGAAACCCUGG
rnacentral:rRNA from 1 species